UAAUUAUUUAGAGUGGCAUGAUGGUGAGAACUGAAUUACACAGAAGCAGGUUCUAGAUAAACUGGGUAAGUAUGUGGUAUAAACUCUACUGUACUCAGUGUUUAUUUUGGUCUGUAUGCAGCAGUGAUUCUUACUGUGGUUCUACUGGGUUCUUUUCUUUUUACUCCAUAUAACUUACCUGCUACUUAGAGGAGCUUCUGAUUUACUUUCCAGCUUUACAGUAAACUUUACUGUAUGUCCCACCUUAUUACUCCAAAUAAUUAUGAGAUAUUUUACAUUUGUCCUUUAUCAGUUUAAUGUCUAGAAUCUGUUACACAUUUAGUGUCAUUCAGUUAAACUGUCUUGGUCGUUACCAUCAUAUUACACAAAUGAAUUAUCUAGUACUAUGGAGUA